GACGAACGCUGGCGGCGUGCUUAACACAUGCAAGUCGAACGAAGAGCGAUGGAGGCUUGCUUCUAUCAAUCUUAGUGGCGAACGGGUGAGUAACGCGUAAUCAACCUGCCCUUCAGAGGGGGACAACAGUUGGAAACGACUGCUAAUACCGCAUACGAUCUAAUCUCGGCAUCGAGGAUAGAUGAAAGGUGGCCUCUACAUGUAAGCCAUCACUGAAGGAGGGGAUUGCGUCUGAUUAGCUAGUUGGAGGGGUAACGGCCCACCAAGGCGAUGAUCAGUAGCCGGUCUGAGAGGAUGAACGGCCACAUUGGGACUGAGACACGGCCCAGACUCCUACGGGAGGCAGCAGUGGGGAAUCUUCCGCAAUGGACGAAAGUCUGACGGAGCAACGCCGCGUGAGUGAUGACGGCCUUCGGGUUGUAAAGCUCUGUUAAUCGGGACGAAAGGCCUUCUUGCGAAUAGUGAGAAGGAUUGACGGUACCGGAAUAGAAAGCCACGGCUAACUACGUG
rnacentral:rRNA from 1 species